CCUAACACAUGCAAGUCGAGCGAGGCAUUUAUGCCUAGCGGCGGACGGGUGAGUAACACGUGGGUAACCUGCCUCAGAGAGGGGAAUAGCCUUCCGAAAGGAAGAUUAAUACCGCAUAAUAUAUACUUUUAGCAUUAUGAGUAUAUCAAAGGAGAAAUCCGCUUUGAGAUGGGCCCGCGGCGCAUUAGCUAGUUGGAGAGGUAACGGCUCACCAAGGCGACGAUGCGUAGCCGACCUGAGAGGGUGAUCGGCCACAUUGGAACUGAGACACGGUCCAGACUCCUACGGGAGGCAGCAGUGGGGAAUAUUGCACAAUGGGGGAAACCCUGAUGCAGCAACGCCGCGUGAAUGAUGAAGGCCUUCGGGUCGUAAAGUUCUUUGAUUGGGGACGUAAUGACGGUACCCAAAAAACAAGCCACGGCUAACUACGUGCCAGCAGCCGCGGUAAUACGUAGGUGGCGAGCGUUGUCCGGAUUUACUGGGCGUAAAGGAUGCGUAGGUGGAAAUUUAAGUGGGAUGUGAAAUCCCCGGGCUCAACCCGGGAACUGCAUUCCAAACUGGAUCUCUAGAGUGCAGGAGAGGAAAGCGGAAUUCCUAGUGUAGCGGUGAAAUGCGUAGAUAUUAGGAAGAACACCAGUGGCGAAGGCGGCUUUCUGGACUGUAACUGACACUGAGGCAUGAAAGCGUGGGGAGCAAACAGGAUUAGAUACCCUGGUAGUCCACGCCGUAAACGAUGGGUACUAGGUGUAGGGGGUAUCAACUCCCCCUGUGCCGUCGUUAACACACUAAGUACCCCGCCUGGGGAGUACGGUCGCAAGAUUAAAACUCAAAGGAAUUGACGG
rnacentral:rRNA from 1 species